UCCUGGUUAACCCAGGCAGUCUCAUUAGAGUUCCCACCUUAACGUGUUGGCAACUAAUGAUAAGGGUUGCGCUCGUUGCUGGACUUAACCAAACACCUCACGGCACGAGCUGACGACAGCCAUGCAGCACCUGUGCAAAGGCCCCGAAGGGAGGCGAUAUCUCUACCGCUGUCCUUUGCAUGUCAAAUCUGGGUAAGGUUCUUCGCGUUGCAUCGAAUUAAACCACAUGCUCCACUGCUUGUGCGGGUCCCCGUCAAUUCUUUUGAGUUUCACCCUUGCGAGUGUACUCCCCAGGCGGUAUACUUAACGCGUUGGCUACGGCACAGCUGGGGUUGAGUCCAGCUACACCUAGUAUACAUCGUUUAGGGCAAGGACUAC
rnacentral:misc_RNA from 1 species